AUUGAACGCUGGCGGCAGGCCUAACACAUGCAAGUCGAACGGUAACAGGAAACAGCUUGCUGUUUCGCUGACGAGUGGCGGACGGGUGAGUAAUGUCUGGGAAACUGCCUGAUGGAGGGGGAUAACUACUGGAAACGGUAGCUAAUACCGCAUAACGUCGCAAGACCAAAGAGGGGGACCUUCGGGCCUCUUGCCAUCGGAUGUGCCCAGAUGGGAUUAGCUAGUAGGUGGGGUAACGGCUCACCUAGGCGACGAUCCCUAGCUGGUCUGAGAGGAUGACCAGCCACACUGGAACUGAGACACGGUCCAGACUCCUACGGGAGGCAGCAGUGGGGAAUAUUGCACAAUGGGCGCAAGCCUGAUGCAGCCAGGCCGCGUGUAUGAAGAAGGCCUUCGGGUUGUAAAGUACUUUCAGCGGGGAUGAAGGGAGUAAAGUUAAUACCUUUGCUCAUUGACGUUACCCGCAGAAGAAGCACCGGCUAACUCCGUG
rnacentral:rRNA from 1 species